GGUUAUUUGUGUGUCGUGGGCCAGAGUCAAAGGCGGAUGGAUUCCCUCGGUCAGGACGGCAGCUGUGCGUGCAUCCAGUGUAUUAAGUUCAUCGCCAUUCCACUAGGGGUAGUAAAAGGGAUUCUCCCAGGUCAUUUCAAAAUGGCAGCUUCCAUGAAAUCAUGAAAAGACUUUUGGCGGGAAAUGCUUCAUGGAGAGAAACUUUCCUUCUGUCUGGACUCUUGUGCGACCUUCCCUUUGGGAACAAUGUCUAUCGGAAAGCUCUUCAGUGGAGACUCUCUCAGCCUGGACUCCUUAGCACUCGAGGAUUCCUGAGGUCUACAUGAAAAUCGAUUCUUACCACCAAAGUUGUGAUGAUGGCAAAUGUCAUGCUUCUGGAUAUCCACUUCCUGUGAGUCAUCCUGACUCGGCUGAGGACUGGAUCUGCCUGUCCCAGUGAUUGUACUGAUCUCA